rnacentral:rRNA from 1 species
GACGAACGCUGGCGGCGCGCUUAACACAUGCAAGUCGAACGGUGACCCUCGGAGCUUGCUUCGGGGUGAACAGUGGCGAACGGGUGAGUAACACGUGAGUAACCUGCCCCUGACUCUGGAAUAAGCGCUGGAAACGGCGUCUAAUACCGGAUACGACACGCCUCCGCAUGGGGAGCGAGGGGAAAGUUUUUCGGUCUGGGAUGGACUCGCGGCCUAUCAGCUUGUUGGUGAGGUAAUGGCUCACCAAGGCGAUGACGGGUAGCCGGCCUGAGAGGGCGACCGGCCACACUGGGACUGAGACACGGCCCAGACUCCUACGGGAGGCAGCAGUGGGGAAUAUUGCACAAUGGGCGAAAGCCUGAUGCAGCGACGCCGCGUGAGGGAUGACGGCCUUCGGGUUGUAAACCUCUUUCAGCAGGGAAGAAGCGAAAGUGACGGUACCUGCAGAAGAAGCACCGGCUAACUACGUGCCAGCCGCCGCGGUAA